CCAGGGCUGGCAGAGUGGCUUAUUGUGCCGGGUUGAAAUCCCGGUGAAGGGUAUUACCCUUCCGAGGGUUCGAAUCCCUCGCCCUCCG
rnacentral:tRNA from 1 species